rnacentral:lncRNA from 10 species
UUCCUGUUGUCAGUGGCCGAGAGACCGCAUCGUCGGCUCGGAGGCUGAGGGGCUGCCGCGGCCGGGAGCGCCCCUCGCCUCGCUCCUCGCUCCGCUUGGUGUCAUGUGAUUCUCUGAGGGAGCAGCUGCGUGAGUGGAGAUGCUUUCAGUGGUGGAGAAUGGACUGGACCCCCAGGCUGCCAUCCCGGUCAUCAAGAAGAAGCUGGUGGGAUCCGUGAAGGCCUUGCAGAAGCAGCUCAAGCUAUCCUUCCACCUCAACCUCCCGAGUAGCUGGGUAGCUGGGACUACACGUGCAAGCCACCACAUCUGGCUAUGUUGUUGUUGUAGAGACAGAGUUUCGUCCUGUUGCCCAGGCUGGUCACGAAUUCCUGAGCUCAAGUGAUCCACCUGCCUUGGCCUCCCAAAGUGCUGGGAUUACAGACACAUCAUCUCAGAGUUGGAGCACCUGACGUUUGUCAACACGGAUGUGGGCCGCUGCCGGGCAUGGCUGCGGCUGGCCCUGAACGAUGGCCUGAUGGAGUGCUACCUGAAGCUGCUGCUGCAGGAGCAG